UUCUGAUAAACGUUAUUUAAAGAACUAUGCCGUCUCUUUAAUUUUGAAGUAUGAUAUUCAGAAAAAUGUUAUACUCAUCACUUGAAUGAAAUCCCAACAUGUACUACAACUUUUGCAUUUGAAGAAAUUUCAAUUGAAACACCUAUAUCAUCAGUUCGUAAUAUGAUGAAACGUCCACAUUCGCCAUCUCGUUCUCCAUCACCCAGUGCAGAAAUAAAAAAAAGAAAGGAAGCUGCUACUCAAAUUUCUCCUCGGCAUUUACGUCCAUCAAUGAAAGAAAAAAGUCAGGCACAAG